UACGAAGGGGGCUAGCGUUGUUCGGAAUUACUGGGCGUAAAGGGCGCGUAGGCGGUGUGUCAAGUCAGGCGUGAAAGCCCCGGGCUCAACCUGGGAACCGCGCUUGAGACUGGCAGGCUAGAGUUCGGGAGAGGAUGGUGGAAUUCCCAGUGUAGAGGUGAAAUUCGUAGAUAUUGGGAAGAACACCGAUGGCGAAGGCAGCCAUCUGGACCGACACUGACGCUGAGGCGCGAAAGCGUGGGGAGCAAACAGG
rnacentral:rRNA from 1 species